rnacentral:rRNA from 1 species
GACGAACGCUGGCGGCGUGCUUAACACAUGCAAGUCGAACGGAAAGGCCCUGCUUUUGUGGGGUGCUCGAGUGGCGAACGGGUGAGUAACACGUGAGUAACCUGCCCUUGACUUUGGGAUAACUUCAGGAAACUGGGGCUAAUACCGGAUAGGAGCUCCUGCUGCAUGGUGGGGGUUGGAAAGUUUCGGCGGUUGGGGCUGGACUCGCGGCUUAUGAGCUUGUUGGUGGGGUAGUGGCUUACCAAGGCUUUGACGGGUAGCCGGCCUGAGAGGGUGACCGGCCACAUUGGGACUGAGAUACGGCCCAGACUCCUACGGGAGGCAGCAGUGGGGAAUAUUGCACAAUGGGCGGAAGCCUGAUGCAGCAACGCCGCGUGCGGGAUGACGGCCUUCGGGUUGUAAACCGCUUUCGCCUGUGACGAAGCGUGAGUGACGGUAAUGGGUAAAGAAGCACCGGCUAACUACGUG